rnacentral:tRNA from 2 species
GGGGUUGUAGUUCAACUGGUAGAACAUCGCAUUCGCAUUGCGAAGGUCGGGGGUUCGAUUCCCCCCAACUCCA